rnacentral:rRNA from 1 species
GGGCCCGCACAAGCGGUGGAGCAUGUGGUUUAAUUCGAUGAUACGCGAGGAACCUUACCAGGGCUUAAAUGUGGUCUGACAGCUUUAGAGAUAGAGCCUCCUUCGGGCAGAUCACAAGGUGCUGCAUGGUUGUCGUCAGCUCGUGCCGUGAGGUGUCAGGUUAAGUCCUAUAACGAGCGCAACCCCUGCCGUUAGUUGCCAGCAUGUAAAGAUGGGGACUCUAACGGGACUGCCGGUGCAAACCGCGAGGAAGGUGGGGAUGACGUCAAAUCAUCACGGCCCUUACGUCCUGGCCACACACGUGCUACAAUGGCCGGUACAGAGAGCAGCCACUGGGCAACCAGGAGCGAA